UACCCACCCGACCCGUCUUGUAACACGGACCAAGGAGUCUAACACGUGCGCGAGUCGGGGGCUCGCACGAAAGCCGCCGUGGCGCAAUGAAGGUGAAGGCCGGCGCGCUCGCCGGCCGAGGUGGGAUCCCGAGGCCUCUCCAGUCCGCCGAGGGCGCACCACCGGCCCGUCUCGCCCGCCGCGCCGGGGAGGUGGAGCACGAGCGCACGUGUUAGGACCCGAAAGAUGGUGAACUAUGCCUGGGCGGGGCGAAGCCAGAGGAAACUCUGGUGGAGGUCCGUAGCGGUCCUGACGUGCAAAUCGGUCGUCCGACCUGGGUAUAGGGGCGAAAGACUAAUCGAACCAUCUAG
rnacentral:rRNA from 1 species